rnacentral:rRNA from 1 species
AACUUGGUCAUUUAGAGGAAGUUAAAGUCGUAACAAGGUUUCCGUAGGUGAACCUGCGGAAGGAUCAUUAAUGAAACUUCAAGUCGGCUGUUCUGUGCUGGUGGCAACACAUGUGCACGCGUGUCGCAAACAUCCACACACCUGUGAACCCUAGACUCUGUGGUCGAUCGAACGCCCGGACAUCUCGUCCACACGUGUGGGGACUUUUCGUCCUCCGUUCACCCAGAGUACUUUUUUUACAUACGCCGAAUGUGAUAGAAUGUACCUGUGCAUAACGCGCAACUAAUACAACUUUCAACAACGGAUCUCUUGGCUCUCGCAUCGAUGAAGAACGCAGCGAAAUGCGAUAAGUAAUGUGAAUUGCAGAAUUCAGUGAAUCAUCGAAUCUUUGAACGCACCUUGCACCCUUUGGUAUUCCGAAGGGUACACCCGUUUGAGUGUCAUUGUAACCUCACUUCAACAACUUUAUUGAUGUUGAAUGUGGACUUGGAUGUUGUCGUGUUCAACGACUCGUCUUAAAUGCCUGAGUGUACCCUGCUUUGCAGCGUAUCAGUGUGAUAAACAUCUUCACUGUUAAGUCCUUUGGACACGCUUGUGUGGUGUGGGCUCUAUGCUUCCAACCGUCUCUGGACAAUCUCUGACAAUUUGACCUCAAAUCGGGUGGGACCACCCGCUGAACUUAAGCAUAUCAAUAAGCGGAGGAAAAGAAACUAACAAGGAUUCCCCUAGUAAC